rnacentral:rRNA from 1 species
GACGAACGCUGGCGGCGUGCUUAACACAUGCAAGUCGAGCGAUGAAAUCCCUUCGGGGAUGGAUUAGCGGCGGACGGGUGAGUAACACGUGGGUAACCUGCCUCAAAGAGGGGGAUAGCCUCCCGAAAGGGAGAUUAAUGCCGCAUAACAUUAGUUUUUCGCAUGGAGGACUAAUUAAAGGAGUAAUCCGCUUUGAGAUGGACCCGCGGCGCAUUAGCUAGUUGGUGAGGUAACGGCUCACCAAGGCGACGAUGCGUAGCCGACCUGAGAGGGUGAUCGGCAACAUUGGAACUGAGACACGGUCCAGACUCCUACGGGAGGCAGCAGUGGGGAAUAUUGCACAAUGGGCGAAAGCCUGAUGCAGCAACGCCGCGUGAGUGAUGAAGGCCUUCGGGUUGUAAAGCUCUGUCUUUUGGGACGAUAAUGACGGUACCAAAGGAGGAAGCCACGGCUAACUACGUGCCAGCAGCCGCCGUAA